rnacentral:misc_RNA from 1 species
UUUCCGUAGGUGAACCUGCGGAAGGAUCAUUAUUGUAUAACCGAGGUGCGAGGGCUGUCGCUGACCCGAAAGGUCGUGCACGCCCUAGUGCCCUCACACACAUCCAUCUCACCCCUAUGUGCACCACCGCGUGGGUCCCCCUUUGGCUUGUUCGGAGGGGGGCUUACGUGUUCACACAAACUCUGUAUGCAGUGUAGAAUGUAUUUUUUGUUUUUGCGAUCACGCAAUCAAUACAACUUUCAACAACGGAUCUCUUGGCUCUC